rnacentral:lncRNA from 1 species
GGGGAACGGUGUGUUACGAUGGCUGGGAUUUGUUAGACGCCAAUGUCGUGUGUAGUGAAUUGGGUAGUGGGGAAGCGAAAGAGGUGAAGUUAGCGGAUAUUAUGGGAAGAGCUCAGGAAAAAUAUGGUUGACAAAGGUGAAAUGUUUUGGGAAUGAGUCCUCACUGACAGAAUGUCCAAUGGGUGGAGCGGACAAAUGGGAACAAAAGUUGUUCUGACAUGUAACAAAACUGACAUGUAUGCAGAAGUCAUCUGUCAGCAAUAAGUGCUGUGCUGUGGAUUGUAAAGCUGGACAGACAGUGACUGUAAUGAUGGACAUCUGCUUGUGGACAGGAGACGCACUCAUACCGCUUUGGUCUUGAUCAUUUUAAAGCACAGAAGAUUUGAACCAGCAUAUUCUACAGGAGGGCCACACUCACUUCUCAUGAGCCUCAUGGGAUCUCUGUAACGAGCAAACAGCCCUCAGAGUCUCAGGAACUCCAGACUGAAGCUCUUCUCAUCAGCCCUGAAGCUCGUUUAUUCAAGAUCAAUCAUAGUAACUUUUUCAUUUUGAACAGAUUUAUGAUUUAUUCAUUCAAGAGUUAUUUAAAAGAGACACACCAGAAC